rnacentral:lncRNA from 1 species
AGAUGGGAGGCCCUCUCAGCUGCUUUGGUGACAUAGACACUAGGUUCAUGGAAGCAGGCUGGCGUGAGGUUCCCUUCCAGGCAUCUGUUACAGGUUUCAGCUGCAAGUCUGUCUCCACAUGGGACCUGCUGCCACAGAUCCAUCUGAGACAGCGCCAUCUCCUGCGACCUACAGACAAAAAAGCUGCCUUCCUCCAAAAAUCUCAUCUGACUGAGGACUCCCAAGACAAGUGCUAAACCACAGAAGACAGACUUGGGACCUUCCAGCUAGAGAUGGACUCAUUUGCCAAAGCCAAAUGGCUGCUGAACUUUGGGGAAAGUUACAUGAUAGUGAGGAAAACAUAAUGUCUAUCUAGAUUAAUUAAUUGAUGUUCAAAAUGGAUGCUAUCGCCCUCAAUUUGUACUACCCAUGGAACAAAUAAUUGGUUGUACAAUCUCUUGCCUUCUCAACCCUCAACUCUCAACUCUUAACCCUUAACCCUUUUUACUACUCUGGCUUUGUUCUUACUUCUCCAGGCUAUACAUUUUUUUCUGAUACUUCCAUCCACUCUAAAUUUUCACCACUGACACAGUCACAUCAGUGACACCCACCCCUUUUUUUCUUAUAAAAACAGAGGGGGAGUUGUGGGGAAUUGGGGUAUGCACAGACAGGCUGGUCUCCAGUCGAGCUGAGGUCAGAACCCCGAAGGGUAAUAAUUCACCUACAUGACACGGUAGGCGUUCCCUCAUGCUCCUGGAACUCUGGCUCCUGCCUAAGUUGGUGUGGCCCACAGCCCCCACAAGAGAAGCAUGGCUAGAAGUCACAUAGGCAACGUUCCAAGCUUCUGACCUUCAGGCUAAACUCCUCUCCAGUUACCUAGCAACAGUAAAGACCAUAAAAGGGCUGUUCAGCACCACCUCACUCUCUUACUUCUCACUUUCUUACUUCUUACCCCUCACAAUCACCCCCUUUCUCCUCUCUCUUUUGCUACACCCACUCCAAAGAACUCUGCUUGACAAGCAAAAAGGCCUGAAGGCAGUCAUGAGGCAAACAGUUUCAAGGAAACUAUGCCUCCUAGAACCUUGGCAUUCCAAUAGCCUGUAUACACAAACCCUGUCCCCUUGUUAGUCUGGUGUAUGGAUACACAUGCUCUCUUUCAGUAUUGUUUUAUUAUAAGUGCCUUUAAGGAUUGAUUCUUGACAUAUAGCUAAGCCUCCACUAGUGUUCCAAUGGUUCCUAGAAAAUCCUUGAAGUCAAAGGUGAGCUUGAGGAGCAGUAAGAAUGUUACCUAUUCAGUAACAUUCGAAUUCACUUCUAGUAGAAACCCUGAAAAUAAUCAAGCAUUACAAAGAACAGAUCUAGAAAAGCUCAGGGCUAAUCUGCAUAGUGAUUACUUAGGACAAUAGCUGAGUUGCACCCAAACACAGGAAUACACAAUGUCCUAGCAAAUAGGUGGUUUGUCCAUGAAAGAUUUAGUGGAAGGGCAUUCCCCUGGUACAGGUUUCUUCACUAGGCCCAGUGGAAUAGCAUAAUCAGGAAUUUACUAAAGAACCCCUGAUGGUGGGUUUAACAAUAGACUAGCAUUGCAUCAGAGCAUUCACCUGGCACCAUUUUAAGUGGUAAAUGUGGCCUGGUUCCCUCCAUCUUUUGAUGUAUGCAUUCCUUUUGUUUUGUGUCACUGUAACUUGGCAGAUGUGUUCUCCUGGUUGUUUGUUUGUUUGUUUGUUUGUUUGUUUGUUUUUCUUCUGUAUAAAAAAGCCUGGUGUUCGUUUGGACAUUACAUUCAGACCCAACACAUUCUCUCCUGUCUGCCUCUGUCUGUACCCCAUUCUCACCGACUCUAUGCCCAUCUGUCCAAGACACUGAUUCCCAUGGAUUGAGGGGGGCUGACUGAGCCCGGUCCAUGACACUCUUUGUCUUCUCUCCUCUCUCCUCUCUCUUUGUCCUCUCCUCCCUCCCUCUUACUCUCUUUCUCUCUAACCUUCCCCCUCUCUCUUCUACCUUCUCUCUUUCUCCCUGCGGAGGAUGAGAUAGGCUUUCUCCUAAUGAGCCGUUUCUAAUCUCUUGAUGGAAGGCCUUCCUGUGCUCCAGUCAAGAUCCGCUGCAC